AAAACUUGACUUUAUGACUCCAGAGACACACCGAUGUGGAAAUAUUGAACACUACAAGCAUCACUCACUGUAAGUGUUUGAAGGUGAUAUCUGGAAAACCGGUGGCUCUUGACCCAGACGGAGAGCGACAAAGUGCCAGCACGUAAGCUCGGAGGGUGGCAAUCCUUUCAACACGAAAUUUUGUUUCAAUUAAAUCCAGGUGUGUUCCUACUACCAACACCACAGAAUUGGGAGCCUUGGCCUGCAAAGGAGGACACAGAGUGAUUAGCCAACCUAUCCACCAGGAGAGCAAAUAAGCUGGGACUGAUGACAAGCUGGGCAUUCGUAUUUUUCCACUAGAGGUGAAAUUCUUGGACUGGCGUAAGACAGACCAGAAUGAAAGUAUUUGCCAAGAAUGUUUUUAUUAAUCAAGAAUGAAAGUCGGAGGUUCGAAGAUGAUCAGAUACCGUCAUAGUUCCGAUUAAAAACGAUGCCAAUUCACGACCCAGUGGUGUUAUUCCCAUGACAUGCCGGGUACCUUCCAGGAAACCAAAAUCUUUGGGUU
rnacentral:ncRNA from 1 species